rnacentral:rRNA from 1 species
UACGUAGGGUGCGAGCGUUUGUCCGGAAUUAUUGGGCGUAAAGGGCUCGUAGGCGGUUUGUCGCGUCGGGAGUGAAAUCCACUGGCUUAACUGGUGGCUUGCUUUCGAUACGGGCAGACUGGAGGUAUGCAGGGGAGAACGGAAUUCCUGGUGUAGCGGUGAAAUGCGCAGAUAUCAGGAGGAACACCGGUGGCGAAGGCGGGUUGCUGGGCUGACACUGACGCUGAAGUGCGAAAGCUAGGGGAGCGAACGGG